rnacentral:tRNA from 2 species
CGGGCAGUAGCGCAGCUUGGUAGCGCACACGUCUGGGGGGCGUGUGGUCGGUGGUUCAAAUCCACUUUGCCCGA